rnacentral:miRNA from 1 species
AGAGGUAUAUGGCAUGGGAAAA